AAAGGAUUUGGGUUAGGAAAGGUGAAGCCCGGUACCUUAAGCCGAGGAAAGGGAACCCUUUAGGCAAGGAACUAUUGAACUGCUGGAUGAACGCUGUGGAAUCUAGCAGCAGGUCUCCAGUUAGUUUGAUAAGCAACAGUUUCCAACCUGUUUGAGCUGGUACUCUGGUCACAAAAGGAUAUAUAUCUCACGACAUCUAUGGGGAAGAACUGGCACUCUUCUUUCAAAGCACCACUCCAGCUGCCAACUGCCUCCUCACAAGAUUUUGAGAGGCAUUGCCUCAGGAGUCCACCUCCAGAGAAUUUCAAAGUUAAAAGCAUUGAGAAAUUAUCUAAAUAAUUGCAGAUCGAAAGCAAUAUACUUUAUGAGGAAUUUUCCACUGUGGCCACCUGAAGGCAGAACCUGCUAUUUUUAAUUCUAAAGCCAGCGUAGACUUUAUCACACAGGAGGACCUUCAUUCAACUUUCAGGUUUCAAAGGCAUGAAGUCUUUAGGCAUUUUAAAGGUUAAUCAAAAUUCAGGAUUCAUGGGGUUUCUUCUGAUGACUCAGAGGAACAGACAAAUUAGUCUGCUGAAGAGCAUAAAAACAAAAGUAUCCAUGAAAGCUAAUUCUUAUUCUUGUGUCUACCUCUCCAACUCAUAUUUAUUUCCACCAUUGCAUAUGUUUCCACAGCGAGCUCAGUAUGACUCUGCAUGUGCAACUAUCUGCCUCUAACCCAGGACAAAAUAAGUGGUACUGCAAUAUCUCUCGUCCAGUGGGAUAACUCAAUUAGACCAUGCUUUCUUUGGACCUAUCAACCCCGUAUUGAGAAAUAUUACUUUCUGUGGAAUUGUGCUGAGGCUCCAAACAACUUUGGAGAACCAAACUUGGAAGAUAAAGGCACUGAAUUAGGGCCUCUUCUGUUGAUCUUAUGGAUCUGGAUGUGCAUAGCAAGGUUGUCUUCUCCCUCUACCACAAGAUACAAUUUAAAGGCUCUGGAGUCAGGUCUGAAAGAUGUCUUCAAUUCUUCCUAAUUUUCACGAGGUGCGGAUGAUCUCAUGCUGGUAGUACUAUACUUAUUUGUUUGGUCAUCUCGAGCACUAUGUCUUUUCUGUUGUAACUACUUACAUGCUUACUUAUUUGUUGCAGAAUACAGGCAUAAGCUAGGACACACUCAGUUGUGUGGCUGGCAAAUCUUCCCUGAUUCUGAGAGAGCCUCUUUUAGGAAUUAAGAUCUGGAUUGUGCCUUUUGCACUAUAGGAAAGUGAGGUCAUAUUUAAGGCAGCUGCAGAUGAGCUAUUUCUGGCUUGGGACACUUGGAAUCAACACUGCUGUUAACUCCAGAUGGACAUCAAGUGAAGUCCAUCUGUGUGAUUUCUAAGUUCUUUGAGUCUCUGAGCUGGGGACUUUGUCAAAAAGAGAUGUGCUGUGUGAUGAAUCAGUCAGCUUUUGUUGUCUGGAGCUGGACUCUAUGACGAGUGGCAAGACUCAUCUUCUUGGGAAUAUCUCAAACUUUAAAGGGCAGUUGAAUGCAGCUGAAAAGGGCAGAAACAUAAUUUUCAGAAAUACUUUUUUCUGGAUCUAUAAUUAUAUGCAUGAAGGGUUCACACUGUCCAUUUAACUAAUUAAUAAGUAGUCAGAUAUAUCAGUGAAAGCGUUAUGAUCUUUGAGCAAUCAUGAACAGAUAUUAUAAAUCAGAACUCCUUGUUCAUGAUUCAGUCUGAUCUAAAGGUGCAUCAAAAAUGUAUGCGAAAAUAAUCUAUGUUGCAAUUAUAUAUUUAAAGCCUUUAAUUUCUUAGUGACAAAACAAUGAAAAAAACCCAAACUGUAGACUGGAAGAAAUUAUUCUGUAAUUAACACCAAAGCUAGCACAUAUAAUGUGAAAAGGAAUUUAAAAACAUCAGUAUGUUUUCAACCAUAGUUGCAUCUAGACAUUGAAUGCAUUGGGAGAAAUCAUAGUAUGAAUUGCCUACAAUGUUCAGGAUAAAGCCUUAUGUGUUGCUUUAUGUGGCUAAUUUGUAAAGAAUAAGAAAAUAUUUGUUAAAUAUUUGAUGGUACAAUUAAGUCUUAUUAAUGUAGUGGCCUUUAUUUUGCAAAUUAAAAUGCACAAGAAUUCAUUUUUAUCACAACAGGUCUUUAUUUGUCAUUUUACUUUGCUAAGUAUUUGAUUAAUAUUAAUAUGGAAGAGCUGCUUUUUAAAAAAACAACAACCGCCAGUUAAUACUUUAGACGGAGUAGCUAUGUGGAAAUAGUAUUAAUGGGUUUCUAUUUAUGAUACAUACUAGUGCUAAAUAUUAUUUUUGAUAUUUUUAUUGCCACCCAGGACAAAUACAGUUCAUUAUAGAUGAGGAAUUGUUUAAUCUUCCAGCUACAUGCAAUAAUCAGCAGAACAAAUUGUUUUUAGUGCAACUCUGGUAUUGGUCUCCCUCUGCCUUCUUCAUCCCACUCAAAAUGCCUAAUAUCAGCUUUUGUUUCCUUUUGGUUAUUUUUCAUGUCUUUUUAAUGUUGCUCCCACUAGGCCAGGUUGCUAAAAGAAUGCUAACAAUAAAAGCUCUGUGUAUCAAGUUGGAGUGAGGAAUGGACUGAACUGAAGAGACAAUGGCUUUUUCAUGGGCUCCUUGUAGAAAAGCCAGCAAGUUGGAUUCUGAAUUAUGAUUGCCAUGGCUUCUACACUUUGCAAGCAAGUGACAUAUCAAACACAGCAACAGGAAAGAGCACUGUGAUUGUCGACUCGUUGAUAUUGCAGGGAUAGAUCUUAGAACUGGAAAAUCACCCUAAAAUUGACAAUUGACCAAGAGAAAACAGAGAAGACUGAGUGCAGGUGCACAUUAUAUUCAAAACUGAACUGCAAGUUUAAACAUUGCCCUACUCACUGUCUAAGGAAGAAUUUAAUAUAUCAAAACCUACUAUUUCAAGGGACAAAAGAGUUCCAGAUGUUACGUACAGUUCAGAGAGCCAGUUUGGUGCAAUGGUUAACGUACCAGGCCAGAAACCAGGACUAAAUUCUAGUUCCCUUUCUGGCACAAAACCAGGUGGGUAAUUGUAGGCCAGUCACUCUCCCACAGCCCUAGGAAGAAGGCAAGGGCAACCCAAUUCUGAAAUCUUGCUAGGAAAACUAUAGGGACAUGUUCAGGCAGUUGACAGGAAUGAGAAGACUCAAAGGCAGCAAAUAUAGACAUAUACACACAUUACCAUUAUGGCUGAAGUGGAAGUCACACUCAGACAAAGGAUAAAGAGUAGUACUCUUGUCCAUCAAGCAGUGAUUUGAUCAUUACUGAAAAAAAGAUAUUUAUCCACCAGAAACCUCAUUAGGAUCACAUGCAAUGUAAAACCAAAAUUGCACUCAUGGAGAUUCAUCAUCCUUGUAGAACAGGCAUGUCCAACCUGAAGCCCAUAGGCCACAUGCAGCCCCUAGACAGAUAAUAAAAAUAAAAAAACGGGUGUCAAAGUCACAGCCUACAGGCUGGAUGGGUCACAUGCUGGCCACCCCCACCCCAGGAAGAUGGGGUGAAGGAGGAAAAGUUGCAAUAUGUCACAUGACA